ACAUACAUUAGUCGUCUACUUUCUGAGGCAGGGGUCAGUAACGUGACUGGUUUAUCUCUCAUUAUGAAUUUGAAAGUAUGAGGGAAACGCCUAAGAGCAUAUUUAAGAGGCGGUAACAAGGAGGACGGGGCACCUCUUCAAAACACUGGUGUCUCUAACAGGCACCCUUACUGGCAGUUGGUAUUGACGGUUGCUCUGUGGACAAGAAGCUUUGCUUUCUGUGAGGAUGGAAGAGAGGGAGGCAUGGUUAUAUUCGCCUGGUACUCCUGUUGGUUCAUGGAUUAAACACUGGCUGUUUGUUCACUCAAGGUCUAAACACUUACUGGAGGAGGAGUCUCAAAUUGACCACUGGCCAUCUCACCCAUUUUGCACCAGAAAGAGAUUUGUGUUGGCCCUUCUCGUCAUCCUGGCCCUGGUUGCCAUGGUUCUGCUUCUGCUGCUGAAUUAUUAUUGUAUUAUGGUCUGGCACCUGUGUCAACAGGAAGAGUACAGUGUUCUCCCGAUGUUUCCAAGCACUACACCAGAGCCGGAAAAUCAGGACUGACUUUGAAUGAGAGCUAUGUGGUUAAACUUGAGACAUCUGAAUAGUGAUUUUAGCUACAUUUGUUUGUUAUUUGGUUUUCUUUUAAUAUUUGGUGCACUCAUCAGGGAUGCAUUUUUUGUGUUAUGCUGCUGUGCUGUUUGAAGAACGGGUAUAACACUGAAAAUUACCAGGUUCCUGUUGCAUAUUUAAUGUGUAACUUAUGGUUUAUGAAGGAAAUAAUUCACACUCUGGUUACCCAGUUCCUGAACUUUUUUUUUUCUUGAUUUAGUUUUCUAUUUAGUCAAAUUACAUCAGAUUUAUCGUUACAAGCUUGAAAAUUGUCAGUUCUAAAUUGCAAAGUCUAUAUUUAUGUCUGUUUUUAAAAAAAAUGUAUCCACUGGAGCUUUACAUGUUUGAGAGACUGAAUUAAGUUCUUGUUUAAAUUGUGUGUCUGCUUAUUAUCACAAAACUUUAAACUUAAACAAGGAUGUAACCAAAAGGGGACCAAAGGUAGAGGUUUAGUUAUAAUAAAGUUAUUCUUUGAAAUAAAAUAAGCAUUACUGUGCAUAGUUUGCAAACAUUUUCAUCCACAGUAAUAACCAAAACUUUGAGUGAUGUCAUGUGAUUGCUAAACUGCUUGAAUAUUCUUUGUGUUUUUGUAGAGCAGGACAUGCUCCUUUCAACACUCAGAGUCAUCCCUUUAGACCACCAAACCUCAGAAAUUCUUACCAGAUGUAGAGUAGUGCAUUGGGGAUACAAAAUAGGCCAGUUAAUGCACUAUCCCCCUGUUCUUGUCAGGAAUUAUGCUAUUCAGCUGGCUCUGUCAGCCUUUAAGUAGAUGCAGUGGACAUUGAGAGAGCACUGAAUGGGGAGAGAAAAUUUGAAUUCUAGUCAGUUGCACCAGUGAACACUUGAAAAGACAGUAUCAAACAGAAGACGGCAAAUGAUUUGGGGAUGUUUGGGAGACGCCCUUUUCCUGCACUAGAUUUUAAUCAAUGAAGGAAAUGUCUAAUCUACUCUAUUUUAUUCCCAAAGACAAGAACAAUUGCUGCAAGCACAUUUUACUAAAAUAAGAGCAACAAUGCAAUGGUGUGUACUGUAUAUUAAAAGUAAAACUUUUUAAAUGACUGAGGCACCUUUAAGCAAACUUAAAAAAAUUGUGGAAUUUUACACAAUCUAAGCAAAAUCUUUAGCAAACUCUGGCAAAUAUAAUCAUGAAAAAUAUACUUAACUGAGAUUGUAACAAUAACAAACUAUUAUAUUCUUAACAUUGAGAAGUUUUCAAAUGUUCUUCAUAACAAUGAAAUACAUAUUUUGUAUAUUUACAUAUUCCUAACAAUAAAAUGUUUCAUGUCUCU